UACGGAGGGUGCACGCGUUGUUCGGAAUCACUGGGCGUAAAGAGCACGUAGGUGGUCUGUUAAGUCAUGUGUGAAAUCCCCCGGCUCAACCGGGGAAUUGCGCCUGAUACUGGCAGGCUCGAGGUCGGUAGGGGUGAGCGGAACUCCAGGUGGAGCGGUGAAAUGCGUAGAUAUCGAGAGGAACACCUGCGGCGAAGGCGGGUUGCUGGGCUGACACUGACGCUGAUGCGCGAAAGCUAGGGGAGCGAACGGG
rnacentral:rRNA from 1 species